rnacentral:rRNA from 1 species
CCUACGGGUGGCAGCAGUGGGGAAUAUUGGUCAAUGGGCGCAAGCCUGAACCAGCAAAGUAGCGUGAAGGAUGACUGCCCUACGGGUGGUAACCUUCUUUUAUAGAGGAAUAGAGUGAGGCGCGUGUGCCUUUUUAUAUGUACUUUAUGUAUGAGGAUCGGCUAACUCCGUGCCAGCAGCCGCGGUAAUACGGAGGAUCCGAGCGUUAUCCGGAUUGAUUGGGUUUAAAGGGAGCGUAGAUGGGUGUGUAAGUCAGUUGUGAAAGUUUGCGGCUCAACCGUAAAAUUGCAAUUGAUACUGGCAGCCUUGAGUACAGUUGAGGUAGGCGGAAUUCGGGGUGUAGCGGUGAAAUGCUUAGAUAUCACGAAGAACUCCGAUUGCGAAGGCAGCUUACUAAACUGCAACUGACACUGAUGCUCGAAAGUGUGGGUAUCAAACAGGAUUAGAUACCCGAGUAGUC